GGCGCAUGUGGUUUAAUUUGAUGCAACGCGAAGAAACUUACCUGGUCUUCCCAUAGUAAGAACUUCCCAGAGAUGGUUUGUUGCCUUCCGGUACUUACAUACAGGUGCUGCAUGGCCGUCGUCAGCACGUGUCGUGAGAUGUUGGGUUAAGUCCCGCAACGAGUGCAACCCUUUUCCUUAUUUGCCAUCGGGUUAAGCCGGGACCUUUAAGGAUACUGCCAGUGACAAACUGGAGGAAGGCGGGGACGACGUCAAGUCAUCAUGGCCCUUUCGACCAGGGCUACACACGUGCUACAAUGGUCGGUACAAAGGGUCGCUCCCUAGCGAUACGAUAUAAUCUCAAAAAGCAAUAGUAAUCCGGAUUGGAGUCUGCAACUCGACUCCAUGACGUCGGAAUAGCUAGUAAUCACGGAUCAGAAUGCCACGGUGAUAAGUUCAAGGGCCUGGUACACACCGCCCCUCCUAACAUGGAAUAUUUGCACCAGAAGUAGUAGUCUUUCCUUGCACACACGCAGUGUUUCGAUCAGAUUUUUUCCCGCCCCC
rnacentral:rRNA from 1 species